GUUACCGGUACUCGGUUGUAUAUAAAUCUUAUUAACGCUAAAUGUGUCAAAACUACUGAAUGUCACUUUACAAAUUGUAACUUACAUUGUUACAAUGUUUUUUUGAUCGAGCUUACGACAAUAUCAUUAAGGGACCGGUCAUAAAGUAUUUACUAGGGGGUGUGGAGGAUAAAAGAACCUCCGAGAACCUCCGAGAGGGUACGAAAAAAACAACAGAACCUCUAGGAGGGAAGGGUUACCAAAAUCUUAGUA